GCCCUAUUCACAGGAGGACCGGAGCAAUUUAGACACAAUCACAGGUGAUUACAAUAAAGCUUAUGAGCUUAAGGUAUAAAUUUAACACCCGGACAGUUUUUUGCUCACUGCUGAUACCCCUGAGGACGGCGUGUGGUCACGCCGAAACGUACGUCGGGUUCUUCUGUGUUUUUAAUACUCUCUUGAGCACUUUGCUCUGAGCACCUUUUCAU